GUACUUAGCCGGGCCGUGGAACUAAAAAGCCCCUUCGGAUCGGAUGAAAAAAAAUUAUUAAGGGUUUUUUAAGCCUUAUUUUUUAUAAUGUAACAUAGUAUUAUCUUUUUUCAAUUGGGAGGAGAGAUGGCUGAGUGGACUAAAGCGUCGGAUUGCUAAUCCGUUGUACGAGUUUUUCGUACCGAGGGUUCGAAUCCCUCUCUUUCCGUUUUUGUUGAUGACUCGAUAUUUUCUUUCGAAUUUUUCGCGAGUUCUUUUUGUUUUUUAAUAGUUAAAGAUGUGUAAUAAAUAAAAUACUACUAAGAGCAUUUAAAAAUCAAGCAAGGAAAACAAAAACCUUAUUUUUUAUUCUUCACGUCCAGGAUUACGUCCUGGAUCAUUAGACAGGAAUCCGAAGAUAAAGAGAGAAACAAAGAAUAUCACUACCGUGUAAACAAAUAGUUUUAGAGUAAGCAUUACAUAAUCUCCAAGAUUUUUUUAGUAAAAAAGAGAAUAGAUUCUCCGUUUUUAUACCGCAUACCCUACCUUUUUUAUUUUUACACCAAGAAAUGAAGUGGGGUGAUCCAGAUUUGUCGCGGUUGUACAAGAAUUUCAAUAUUUGAAUUGAGGGUGUAAGACUUAUCUGGUCUUAUCAAUUCUUAGAGUUUUUUUUUCAAUAAAUCAUGAAUUUGUCUAGACAAAAGAUAUCAUCGAAAACUUACAGCAGCUUGCCAAACAAAGGCUAACAGAAAAAAAAACAGGGGUAUUACUGGCAUAACAUCUACGAUUGGAUUUAAAAAAGCGUAGGCCUCGGGCAAUUUGGCGACGAAAAAACUACUUGAAUAAAGAGCGGAAUUAAGACAGAUCAAACUAAAUAUAUUAAGCAUAACAAACAUUUUGUUCUUUAGGAUAAUUGUAUUUUAUUUUGAUUGAGUUAUUAAUAAAUUGAGUUUUUUAUUAUUUAAUUAUUAUAAAUAUGUUAUUAUUCAUAGAAGAGAAAAAUGAAUAAAAAGAAAAUAAGAUAGACCAAAAAACUUUCUUUGAUUUGAACUCACCCAAUCAACAA
rnacentral:tRNA from 1 species